UGGAGGUGUGGAUGUCCUGCUGGAGAUCCCUGCCUACCUGAGGCUUUCUAAGGCUUUAUAGGUUGCUUUCACGGUCCAGGCAAUGAUGUGAACAGGAGCUAUCGAAUGCUUGGGGAUGAAGAUGCCUACUGGGACCCUUACACCUGCUUCUGAAACUGAGAAGAGAGUGGGAUUUUGGCCAUGUCUCUGUGUAGUGAAUACCCUGUUUGCUCCAUCUAAAUAGCUCACUUUUCUGUCUGCAAGAAACCACGAAGACCACUUCUGAACAUUCCCUGUGCCUUAUAUAGGCUGCUAAUUUCUGAUCAAGUGUGAAUCCAGGCAAGAUUUUUACUCGGGUUUAGCCUGGAGUUGUU